GAUGAACGCUGGCGGCGUGCCUAAUACAUGCAAGUCGAGCGAACGGACGAGAAGCUUGCUUCUCUGAUGUUAGCGGCGGACGGGUGAGUAACACGUGGAUAACCUACCUAUAAGACUGGGAUAACUUCGGGAAACCGGAGCUAAUACCGGAUAAUAUUUUGAACCGCAUGGUUCAAAAGUGAAAGACGGUCUUGCUGUCACUUAUAGAUGGAUCCGCGCCGCAUUAGCUAGUUGGUAAGGUAACGGCUUACCAAGGCAACGAUGCAUAGCCGACCUGAGAGGGUGAUCGGCCACACUGGAACUGAGGCACGGUCCAGACUCCUACGGGAGGCAGCAGUAGGGAAUCUUCCGCAAUGGGCGAAAGCCUGACGGAGCAACGCCGCGUGAGUGAUGAAGGUCUUCGGAUCGUAAAACUCUGUUAUUAGGGAAGAACAUAUGUGUAAGUAACUGUGCACAUCUUGACGGUACCUAAUCAGAAAGCCACGGCUAACUACGUG
rnacentral:rRNA from 1 species